GGCCAGACUCCUACGGGAGGCAGCAGUGGGGAAUAUUGCACAAUGGGGGAAACCCUGAUGCAGCGACGCCGCGUGAGUGAAGAAGUAUUUCGGUAUGUAAAGCUCUAUCAGCAGGAACGAGACAAGACGGUACCUGACUAAGAAGCCCCGGCUAACUACGUGCCAGCAGCCGCGGUAAUACGUAGGGGGCAAGCGUUAUCCGGAAUCACUGGGUGUAAAGGGAGCGUAGACGGCAGCGCAAGCCAGGAGUGAAAGCCCGGGGCCCAACCCCGGGACUGCUCUUGGAACUGCGCGGCUGGAGUGCAGGAGGGGCAGGCGGAAUUCCUGGUGUAGCGGUGAAAUGCGUAGAUAUCAGGAGGAACACCGGUGGCGAAGGCGGCCUGCUGGACUGCGACUGACGUUGAGGCCCGAAAGCGUGGGGAGCAAACAGGAUUAGAUACCCUGGUACGA
rnacentral:rRNA from 1 species